AUGAAAAAUCACUUCACGUUGAGUGAGGACGUGUCUCAAAGUGUUAGUGGUCAGUCUUUGACCUCCUCAGAUUCUGUGGUGAAAAAGCCUGGAGAAUCAGUGACUCUGUCCUGUACUGUGUCUGGAUCCUCAAUGAGCAGCUACUGGAUGGGCUGGAUCCGUCAGAAACCAGGGAAAGCACUGGAGUGGAUUGGAUUAGUGACCCAGACUUAUCUUGGAUCAGACAGACUGCAGGAGGAGGUCUGGAGUGGUUGGCAUACAUCUGGUGGUAGUAUAUACUACUCUCAGUCUGUUCAGGGACGCUUCACCAUCUCCAGAGACAACAGCAAGAAACAGAUGUAUCUGCAGAUGAAUAAUAUGAAGAAUGAAGACACUGCUGUAUAUUAUUGUGCAAGAGAGACACAGUGAUGAAAACAGCUACAGACAAAC